GCCCGUUUAGCUCAGUGGUAGAGCGUGCUACUUGUAAUGGUAAGGUCGGUUGUUCAAUCCAGCCAAUGGGCA
rfam:Peniophora sp. CONT PENSPscaffold_193_Cont281, whole genome shotgun sequence.